rnacentral:rRNA from 1 species
AACGACUCUCGGCAACGGAUAUCUCGGCUCUCGCAUCAUGAAGAACGUAGCGAAAUGCGAUACUUGGUGUGAAUUGCAGAAUCCCGUGAACCAUCUAGUCUUUGAACGCAAGUUGCGCCCUAAGCCAUUAUGCCGAGGGCACGUCUGCCUGGGUGUCACGCAU